rnacentral:rRNA from 1 species
UCGAGAAUCAUUCACAAUGGGCGAAAGCCUGAUGGUGCGACGCCGCGUGGAGGACGAAGGCCCUAGGGUCGUAAACUCCUGUCAUCAGGGAGUAAGGGGCUUUAUAGUAACUGCUAAAGCUAUUGAUAGUACCUGAAGAGGAAGGGACGGCUAACUUCGUGCCAGCAGCCGCGGUAAUACGAAGGUCCCGAGCGUUGUUCGGAUUUACUGGGCGAAAAGAGUCUGUAGUCGGUAACGGAAGUCAGGGGU